rnacentral:lncRNA from 1 species
UUAAUUCUUUUACGACCAUUAUUUAGGUGUUCCUCCGUUGUGCAGCAUAGAUGGAUGUUGUAAGGCACCUACGCGUUUUUGCAAUAAAAAUAACAACUGUUGUAUACACGACUCAACUUGCUUUUCAAAACCUGGAUGGUACAGAAGUUAAUUAAUAUAACAUAUUUCAAACGCAAAACAUUUUUGGAAAAUGAAAUAAAAUUGUAUUCAAAUAUUGUUUUUCUGUUAUGUAAAAAAAAAAA